rnacentral:rRNA from 1 species
AGGACGAACGCUGGCGGCGUGCUUAACACAUGCAAGUCGAGCGGAAAGGCCCUUCGGGGUACUCGAGCGGCGAACGGGUGAGUAACACGUGAGUAAUCUGCCCCUAGCUCUGGGAUAGCUCCGGGAAACCGGGAUUAAUACCAGAUACGACCACUUUAGACAUCUGUUGUGGUGGAAAGAAUUUUGGCUAGGGAUAAGCUCGCGGCCUAUCAGCUUGUUGGUGAGGUAACGGCUCACCAAGGCGACGACGGGUA